AACCCGUGGGGAGGGCAUCUUCUUAAUAAAUCUUUGUAUCUCUCUCAUGCAUCAUAUAAUGUCUCUAAAUUGAUCUAUACAAAGGAAGAGAUGUUGUUCCUUAACUU
rfam:Gossypium arboreum cultivar AKA8401 contig_1213_5, whole genome shotgun sequence.